CUUUCAUACACUCAAGGCGCCAAAUCAUUUGACCCAGGUUAUCCCGAGAGCCAGGGGUCUUUUCUGCUCGACUGACUAGACUGGAGCCAAAUGCUCCCCUCCCAUUCUUUGGCUGUCAAUCCAGCUCGCUCCUCAGUCUCCGGCCCCAUCCUAAAAAAACUUCAUGUCUGAUCUCCAGAAGCAAAAUAAUAAUCUAUGGAUUGUGUUGGAUGAUGAAGCAGAUCGGAGAAGGACACAGGCCUCUGUGCUACAACACCUUGCAACGGGUGUCAACGUACUCUAUGCAGCACUCGGUGGGAUCGAAAAUGAAAGGGAGGGAGAAGAAAAAAAGAGAAAAAAAAGGGCAGAACACGAAUUAACUGGACCUGGUUUUCAUUUCCUCUUCAACGCAGUUUAAUUUUCCAUUGAGAAAAAGAAUUUUGAUUGUUGUUUUCAGCUCGGUCUGUAACAAUUGCCUUAUAGUCAGACAUUGGAACAAUUAGGAGAAUUAAUGACUAAUGAAGAGGGAUUCUGAAGCAAUAUGGAGAUACAUCAAAGCCGGCUAACCCGAAAGAAAUACCUUAAAAACUACCGGAAAAAUAGCGCAACAUCCUCUGUAAAGAUAUAAAAAUGAAUCAGCGCAGAUAUUUGAACCUAAGACAACAGGAUGAGAAAAAGUCGAGACUUGCUAUCGGAGUGUCCAUAGACGUCUUUAGCGCCCCGCAACAGAUGAUCAUUUUUGCCAACAUUUAUGUGUUUUAGUUAACAUUUACAUAUAGAUAAAAUGGAUUUCAGAAAGCUGCCUAAUUCUUAGACAGCGUCAACUAGAACAUCUGAGAAUU